AGCGUAGUGGUGUAGUGGUUGGAGCUCUCGACUAUGACUCCGGAGAACAGGAUUCGAAUCCCCGCUUGGCCA